rnacentral:rRNA from 1 species
UACGAGGGGGGCGAGCGUUGUUCGGAAUUAUUGGGCGUAAAGGGUGCGUAGGCGGCCUGACAAGUCUGAUGUGAAAUCCCUGGGCUCAACCCAGGGCCUGCAUCGGAAACUGUCGGGCUUGAGUAUGGGAGAGGUGAGUGGAAUUUCCGGUGUAGCGGUGAAAUGCGUAGAGAUUAGGAAGAACACCAGUGGCGAAGGCGACUUACUGGACUGUAACUGACGCUGAGGCAUGAAAGCGUGGGGAGCAAACAGG